ACCAGAGUGGCCUAGAGGUUAAGGAGGUGGACUUUUAAGAUCCAAUGGACAAAUGUUGUCGUGAGAUUGAACCCCACUUCUGGUA
rnacentral:tRNA from 1 species